rnacentral:rRNA from 1 species
GUCUAUGGCCAUGCCACCCUGAACAAGCCUGAUGUCUGAUCUUGGAAGAUAAGCAGGGUUGGGCCUGGUUAGUACUUGAAUGGGAGACCACCUAGGAAGACCAGGUGCUGGAGGCA